GAGAUACAGCAUUCUUAUAACACAGAAAAAGUGAAAAAUUAACUUGAGGGUUUACCUCAGUAAAACAAUGUAAUGUUACAUUUGAUUUUAAUAAGCAUUUGCUGUCAGUCUUUAAUUUGGAACUAUUUUAUCAAUAUUAUUUCCUUAAUAAAACAUAAUGACUAAAAAUUAAUUUUUAUGUUUGUGUAUGCACGUGAAUACUGGCAUCAAACCCAGAGCCUGGUGGGUGCCAGGUAAUCAUUCUACCACUGAGCUACAACCCCUAGUGAAAUUAACUUUUAAAUAGUGUUGUAUUUCAUUGGAUAUAAAUGUUCAUAGUUAUGACCAGAAACAGUAUAUUCAAUUUUGACAUACUCUAAAUAUAAAAGUUUCCUUAAAAAAGAAAAAUACGGAGGUUCUCAUGAAAAUCAAAGAGAGACCAGAAGAGGAAAGGAACCAAGGGGAUAUGGAGUAGGGGAGGGAAAGGAGAAAUACUGGGGAAUAGUUGACCAAAUUAUAUUGUUAUAUUGUGUGCAUGUAUGAAUGUGUAAAGAAUCUCGCUAUUAUAUUUAAUUAUAAUGCACCAAUAAAAAAUAUGGAAGAAGUUGUUCCUUAUAAUUUCACAUGAAAUUAGGUUAAAAAUCAGGAAAAAUCAUCUAUUUGGAGGGUUGGGUAUUUAGCUAAUAAUAAUAUAAAUUAAAAUUACUUCUAAACCAUAAUAAAGGUCUUCAGUAAUGAUACAAAAAAACUAAACAGAUAAUAUGUUUUUGAACCAGAAGGGAUCAAUGUCUUACCAAUCUUUGAUUUAUUUAGAUAAUUAUGGGAAUUCUUAAAUAAGAUAGUGAUGAUAAAUCUAAAAUUUAUUAAACUUUAGGAAUGAUUAUGGCAAUGCUGUACAUAGUGGUUCUAUAGAAUCAGAUGAUAUCUAAAUGACUUAAAGGAGCCAUUUAAGUGAGGUUUUUAUAUUGAUAUAGCCACCCUUGGUACCCACAGGGAUCAUUAAAG
rnacentral:lncRNA from 1 species